rnacentral:rRNA from 1 species
AACUUCAAUUUUUUAUUGAAUUGUUUUUUAAUUUUUAUGUUAAUUUUGUUUGAUUAAUUUCAAAAUAAUCUUCAAAACUUUCAACAACGGAUCUCUUGGUUCUCGCAUCGAUGAAGAACGCAGCGAAAUGCGAUAAGUAAUAUGAAUUGCAGAUUUUCGUGAAUCAUCGAAUCUUUGAACGCACAUUGCGCCCUUUGGUAUUCCAAAGGGCAUGCCUGUUUGAGCGUCAU